GGAGACAGAGGCAAGCAGAUCUCUGUGACACUGAAGCCAGCCUAAUCUCCAUAGACUAUUGUUUUGAUAACCUGCGCAACACUUUUCUUUCAGGAAAUUAUUAGUUAUCAAAUACAUUGACCAGCUUUCCAGCAAUGUAAACUAGUAAGUGGGACCAGGCAGGGCAUGUCUGUCUGCAGGCCUUCACUGAGGAAGAGUACUGCUGGCCCACCUUCCCAGUCCUUGGAAGCUGUAUUUAGUGGAGCUGACAACGCCUGUGCUGUGAGCUCUCAGCAUCCUAACCAGGGCUGCUCUGGAAAAAUGCCACACCAGCAUCCCAGGUCCAGCAGGACAUUCCAUGCAGGUUCCUGACCUCUGAUUAUCUACAAGCCCUCCCUCUCGUUGCCAAGCUAAUUUGUCCUGUUGCUGCUGCUGACUCUACUGAUAUUAGAACCAGCGUCUCCAGGCCUCCAUCAUUGAAUGAGGAUCAGUGGCUCUGCAGGACUGCCCCAGAUUUUUUUGAAGCCAGACUGGGACUUCUGAAGCACCCAACCCCAUGGACUGAGCAAUUGUGUUUCUUGGUCUUUCCAGUAUGAGACAGCCAUUGUGGGGCUCCAAUUGGUGAGGUACCCAGCCUCAAAGUGGAGCAAAUACUGGGUUCUCAUGUGUGGGACAACUCUGUUACCUUUUCACCAUAAGCAGCCCAGACAAUUUCUUCAUGCAUUUGGCCUGUCGAUUCUGCUCCUCUGGAGAAUGCUGUGCAACACAUUCAAAGAUGAACUACUUUUUUCCAAUGAUCUAAGUCUGAACAUUUAUAUGAGUUUUAUUUUCAGAAUCAUAAAUAUAUGCAUGAAUAGUGGAAUACUCUGUUUUAAAAAACUGAGCUAGAUAGAUGGCUCAGUGGUUAAGAGCACUGGCUGUACUUCCAGAGGACCCAGGUUCAA